rnacentral:rRNA from 1 species
UACGGAGGGUGCGAGCGUUGUCCGGACUCACUGGGCGUAAAGGGCGCGUAGGUGGCCUGUGGAAGUCUGCGGUGAAAGCCCGGCGCUCAACGCCGGGUCGGCCGUGGAUACUCUCGGGCUUGAGCUUACUAGAGGCAGAUGGAAUUCCGGGUGUAGCGGUGAAAUGCGUAGAUAUCGGGAGGAACACCUGUGGCGAAAGCGGCGCACUGGACCACAACUGACGCUGAGGCGCGAAAGCUAGGGGAGCAAACAGG